rnacentral:rRNA from 1 species
UACGUAGGGUGCAAGCGUUGUCCGGAAUUAUUGGGCGUAAAGAGCGUGUAGGCGGCCAGACAGGUCCGUUGUGAAAACUCGAGGCUCAACCUCGAGACGUCGACGGAAACCGUCAGGCUAGAGUCCGGAAGAGGAGUGUGGAAUUCCUGGUGUAGCGGUGAAAUGCGCAGAUAUCAGGAAGAACACCUAUGGCGAAGGCAGCACUCUGGGACGGUACUGACGCUGAGACGCGAAAGCGUGGGGAGCGAACAGG